GCACUGCUGCAGAGUCCACAAUAGGACGAAACGGCCGUCCAGUGC
rnacentral:hammerhead_ribozyme from 1 species